rnacentral:rRNA from 1 species
GACGAACGCUGGCGGCGUGCCUAAUACAUGCAAGUCGAACGCUUCUUUCCUCCCGAGUGCUUGCACUCAAUUGGAAAGAGGAGUGGCGGACGGGUGAGUAACACGUGGGUAACCUACCCAUCAGAGGGGGAUAACACUUGGAAACAGGUGCUAAUACCGCAUAACAGUUUAUGCCGCAUGGCAUAAGAGUGAAAGGCGCUUUCGGGUGUCGCUGAUGGAUGGACCCGCGGUGCAUUAGCUAGUUGGUGAGGUAACGGCUCACCAAGGCAACGAUGCAUAGCCGACCUGAGAGGGUGAUCGGCCACACUGGGACUGAGACACGGCCCAGACUCCUACGGGAGGCAGCAGUAGGGAAUCUUCGGCAAUGGACGAAAGCCUGACCGAGCAACGCCGCGUGAGUGAAGAAGGUUUUCGGAUCGUAAAACUCUGUUGUUAGAGAAGAACAAGGACGUUAGUAACUGAACGUCCCCUGACGGUAUCUAACCAGAAAGCCACGGCUAACUACGUG